UCUUGUAUAACUCAGUUGGCAAAGCAUGAGACUCUUAAUCUCAGGGUUGUGGGUUUGAGCCCCAGGUUGGGUAAAAGAU